AUAUAACUACCCCAGAAUCUCAUUGAGAAUUUUGGGGCCUUAACUAGCCUCUUCUUCCAUGUCCCCAAAUGGUGAGUCAGGAAGCCUUAGGCAGAUGCUUCUAGAAAUAGUGUAGAGCAAAAAAAGACAGGGUGAUAGCUGGGGCCCCGGUAAGAUGCCUGCAGUUGGGUUGUCAGGGAUGCCUUCAGGAUGCCCUCUACGUGCUCUUGA